UAAUUGUUUAUCAUGUCUUACAUUUGUUAGGUCCACGGUUUUGUUGAAGACCUCUCAGGUAAAAAGGUUGCAACAUUAAUUGGAAAAUGGGAUGACACCGUGUAUUAUAUCGAUGGUGAUGGGAGUGGCAAGCCGAAGGACUACAAUCCAUGAAAUGUUUCCUUACAAUGGAAGGGUUCCAAGCCACCUUCUAACCUGAGUCGCUACAAAUUGACAUCAUUUGCAAUAACGUUAAAUGAGCUAACACCAGGAUUGCACGAGAAGCUCCCACCCACGGAUUCUAGGCUUAGACUAGACCAACGCCAUUUGGAGAA